rnacentral:tRNA from 1 species
AGUAAGUUAGUUUAUAUACAUAAAAUAUUAUUAUGCAAUAAUAAAGAAUUUAUACUUACUU